UCCUGGGUUGUGGGAGGAAGGAAACCCGGGUUCGGGAGGGCUAGACUCUCAUUAGGCCCCGAUCCGGGCAUCUGAACCCUCUAUGCAAGAUUUCAAAACUGUAGGAUGUAUGGCAGUGAGAUUCUCGAAACUCUCAGAAUGAGAGCGAGUAGAAGAGACCCAGAGAACCUCAGAAUGGAUGCCAGGACGGCUUACAGAAGGGAAAGGACUGACGAUCUAACGGGCCUGAAAAGCCUUGACAUGGAAGGAUCCGAUUUUAGUGACUGGACAUACGCUGCAAAUACAGAAUGUCUCAAAGUUGGCACUCAUAAUUUGCAAGAAGCAAAGGAUUGGAAUGCAGAGUUCCUGGUGUCUGAUCAUCCUACAUCACCACUAAUGUAUUUGCUGAAAAAUCUGCUGCUUUUUAAAGAAAGUCUUACUUUGUUUAACCUAGCUCAACAUUAAAAUUCUGAAUUUCUCUCUGGAUUUUGAGGAAACA